rnacentral:tRNA from 1 species
GGCUGCGUAGCUCAGGGGUAGAGCACUCGCCUGUCGAGCGAGAUGUCACGGGUUCGAAACCCGUCGCGGUCG